rnacentral:rRNA from 1 species
AUACGGAGGGUGCAAGCGUUAUCCGGAAUCAUCGGGUUUAAAGGGUCCGUAGGCGGACUAUUAAGUCAGAGGUGAAAUCCCACAGCUCAACUGUGGAACUACCUUUGAUACUGGUAGGCUUGAGUUAUAUGGAAGUAGAUAGAAUGUGUAGUGUAGCGGUGAAAUGCAUAGAUAUUACACAGAAUACCGAUUGCGAAGGCAGUCUACUACGUAUAUACUGACGCUAAGGGACGAAAGCGUGGGGAGCGAACAGGAUUAGAAACCCUAGUAGUCC